AGGUAUUUUUGGUUCUUCUUAUUGAACUGUGCCUACAUGAGUUCAUGAGGGAUCAAUUCACCAUCUCCCACAACCCAGAUCUAACAGAGAAAAUUAGAGGGCAACAUGACACGCUUCAACUCACAUGAACCUUCUAAAAGCUCACUGCAAGAUGUGGAGGGAGAACCUGUGAACAGCUUUGGGCUCCAGAGCCAGGAGGUCUAUUUCCAUCCUAGCUGCAGCUCUUUGCAGAAGCAGCAACAGCAAACUCCUGUCAGCAGUGGUUCUUCUGAGUGGGACAGUCCAAGGACAUCUUUACCAAACUCAGGGAAUACCACAAGUUCCUACCAAGAAAUAGAUAACAGAAGAUUGAGGUAAAACUUUUUUUUUAUGACAGAUGAUUUUAAAACUUAGCAAUAAUAAUACUUAUGACUAAUUUUGUACAGAUGAGGAAGGGCUUAACUCGUACAAAGUUAUUUAGUUAGUGACAAAAAUUUAUUUUCAUGAGUACUGUUUUUAAUUUUGAGCACAAAUGAAUAAUGGCCUCACUUAAAACCUGUGUGCUCUUCACCACCCCCUGUACUGUUUUUAGGAAGUUUCCCAGCUACAUGUACUUUUUCACAUUUGACUGCUAAAUGAGAUAUUAGUGUAGAAAAUGUAGCAUGCAUGAGAAUUCUUUGGAUUUGUAGCAUUUUCUUGGGACAAUUGGAUCUGCAGAGCACCAGUUUUCAUUCUUAAUUUUUUUUUGUU